ACAUUCGAACGCUGUUGAUUCAGACGCGGAGCGGACCGAGCGCAAUCUUUUCUGGCUUCGAUCGUCGCAGCCGCGGAUGUUCCUGACGUCGGAUGUAGCCUUACUCUAGUCGUCGUCAUGGAUGUUCGCCGCGAUCCCGUGCCGUUGCCGGCGCUCUGUCCCGCUCCCCGCUCCGGUGACACUCUCUGCCGCACUCUGCGAAUGUCGCCACACGUGUUCGCGGUAAAAUUUUGGCUGCUCAGCCGGUGACGUCUGCAUUUUUUGAUCUAUACUUUUUGAAGAAGUAACUUGAGUUUUAUCCAGCGACAAUGUUUAAACGCGCACGAAAAUCGGUGUCGUUUCAGGACCGGCAUGAGGCUACCAGAAGUGUUAUGUACGAUGGGUUUUUAGCGCUAGUGAUGGAGCCUGCAACGGGGGAUGAUGAAGCUCCCAAGGAUCCCGGCGCCAAGCAAACAAAACACCAAAGCUACACCGAGAAAGACUUCGAGGGUCACCGAGCACACACCAUGUACGUGGGCGUACACGUGCCUGGAGGUGGCGGCCACAAGCGACACCGUCGACACCACAAGCACCACCACAAGACCAACGACCAAGUCAGCGAUGACGAGGAGAGACAGAAUCGAGGAGGCCGUGUGGUCUUACAGCGCGCCCGAUUGGCCAGUAUAGCUGGUCUUGCUUCCGAAGAUAAGGAGAUGAUGACUCCACCGGCUCAGCGCGUACAGUUCAUCUUGGGAGAGGAUGCUCAGGAUGAGACUCACGAGUGCCAUCCUCUCUUCUCUGAGAUGGAAGAGCUUGUUCACGGCGAAGGUGAUGUCCUCGAAUGGAAAGAAACUGCCAGGUGGAUAAAAUUCGAGGAAGACGUGGAGGAAGGUGGCAACCGAUGGUCAAAGCCACACGUGGCCACUCUGUCGCUGCACUCUGUGUUGGAGCUGCGCAGCUUCCUCAUGAACGGCACAGUCAUGCUCGACAUGGAGGCUGCCUCCCUCGAACAGGUCGCCGACCUCGUACUCGACAACAUGGUCAACUCCACGGCGCUCCCCCACCAUGCCAGGGACAAGGUGAAAGAGGCUCUUCUACGCAGACACAGGCACCAGCAUGAGAGGCGGAAAGACAACGUCUCCAGGCUGCCAAUCAUCAGGUCACUGGCCGAGAUUGGCCGCAAUCAUUCCUCCUCAAAAACUUGUGAGUCGAUAAAUAUUGGUCGUAGUAGCAGUUUUCCAACGCCCGAAACAGCUCUGCUAUCAUGCCCUCAAUCUUCAGGGCAGUACCUCACUGUGCCAGGUUCUGCUAAAAGUGCAGCUCACAUAGGUGAGGGGAUGGACCGUAGUCCAAGCUCAAUAUCAAUGAGUCGAAAUCAUAGCGCUGGUGAUUUAUGCAACGAGCAUCCGAAAGUGAACAUGAAUUUCAUGCGUAAAAUACCUCAUGGAGCCGAGACUUCGAAUAUCCUUGUUGGAGAAGUUGAUUUCUUAGAAAAGACCCUCUCAGCAUUCAUUCGUUUGAAAAAUGCAACACUGCUGGGAGAUUUGACUGAAGUUCCUGUACCGACCAGAUUCCUGUUUAUUCUUCUUGGACCAACUGGUGGUAUAUCUGGCUUCCACGAAGUUGGCAGAGCAAUGGCCACUUUGAUGUCUGACGAAGUUUUCCACGAAGUUGCUUACAAGGCAAAAAACCGAUCCUACCUUCUGUCAGCUGUUGAUGAAUUCCUCGACGCUGUCACCGUUCUUCCUCCCGGCGAAUGGGAUCCUACCAUUCGAAUUGAACCACCAGCCGCCAUUCCAUCACAAGACACCCGGAAAAGACCCCCAGAAAAACCAAUAGAAGAGAAGGAUGAAGAACUUGAAGAGCAAAAAUUAAGAGAAGAGUCUGGGUUGUCAAGGACAGGAAGACUGUUUGGUGGUCUGAUAAAUGAUGUCAAAAGGAAAACUCCGUGGUACAUUUCAGAUUUUAAAGAUGCGCUUGCAAUGCAAUGUGUAGCAUCUUGGAUAUUCUUGUACUUCGCCUGUUUGUCACCCAUCAUUACCUUCGGAGGUCUUCUCAGCGAAGCUACCGGGAAAAAUAUGGCUGCCAUGGAGUCUCUGAUCUCCGGAUUUGUGUGCGGCAUUGGAUAUGGACUCUUUUCCGGCCAGCCUCUCACUAUUCUUGGUUCAACUGGACCUGUCCUAGUCUUUGAAACAAUAGUUUACGAUUUUUGUAUGAGCAGUAGUUGGGAUUACAUGUCAUUCCGAUUAUGGAUUGGAUUGUGGAUAGCAUUCAUUCUGAUUGUUCUUGUUGCGAUCGACGCCAGUGCGUUUGUGUGUUACAUUACUAGGUUUACUGAAGAGAAUUUUGCUACGCUAAUUGCAUUCAUAUUCAUAUACAAGGCUGUGGAAAAUGUGCUACAAAUAGGUAAAAAAUUCCCCAUUAAUACGAAUAGGUUUAAUUAUACGUCGAGAAAUUGUAGUUGUAGACCGCCCACCACCAGUUUGAGUCCAGAUAUCGAGUCAGUCAGCUGGAAAGAUUUGGACAGAGAUUCUUGUUUGUUGUUUAAUGGAACCCUGGAGGGCCAUGAUUGUUUUGUGCCGAAGUAUGUACCAGAUGUCUUCCUUAUGUCCAUUAUAUUGUUCUUUGGAACGUUCCUUAUAUCAAUCCAGUUGAAAGAUUUCAAAAAUGCUUUGUUCUUCCCAUCCAAGGUUCGACAGUUUGUUAGUGAUUUUGCUGUUAUAAUUGCCAUUCUCAGUAUGUCCACCCUCGACUUCCUCACAGGAAUCAAAACUCCAAAAUUAGAGGUGCCUAGUGAGUUCAAGCCUACACUCCCAGACCGCGGCUGGAUGAUAAUGCCUUUUGGAAAAAAUCCGAUUUGGUCCAUAUUUCUUGCAAUCAUACCAGCUCUAUUGGGAACCAUUUUGAUAUUCAUGGAUCAGCAAAUAACUGCUGUUAUUGUUAAUAGGAAAGAAAAUAAAUUGAAGAAAGGCUGUGGCUACCACUUGGAUCUGUUCGUUCUGGCCAUCCUGAUCAUAAUCUGCUCAGUGAUGGGCCUGCCGUGGUUUGUGGCAGCCACCGUUCUCUCCAUCAACCACGUCAAUUCACUCAAAUUGGAGUCGGAAUGUGCGGCUCCCGGAGAAAAGCCUCAAUUCCUUGGAGUCAGAGAGCAGAGAGUGACUCACAUCCUAAUUUUCCUAAUGAUCGGUUUGUCAGUUUUGAUUACUCCGAUUCUGAGACACAUUCCAAUGCCUGUUCUGUUCGGUGUAUUCUUGUACAUGGGAGUUGCAUCUCUCAAAGGACUUCAGUUCUUCGAUAGAAUUCUAAUAAUGUUGAUGCCCGCCAAAUACCAACCAGAUUACAUGUUUCUCAGACAGGUUCCCAUCAAACGCGUUCAUCUGUUUACUGCAAUACAAUUGGCUUGCCUUAUAUUAUUGUGGCUUAUCAAAUCGUUUCAACAAACAUCAAUUUUGUUUCCUUUGAUGCUUGUUGUUAUGAUCGGCUUGAGGAAAUCAUUGGACUUCUUUUUCACUCAACGAGAGCUGAAAAUACUCGAUGACGUCAUGCCGGAAACAAUUAAAAGGACUGAAGACGAUGAGAGACAGCUAGAAAAUGAGGUUUAGAAGAGAAGCAGAUGGACUUAGAGGCUAAUGAGAACCUGCAAAUUCCUCUGGCAAACGGCAACAUUAUGAAGAUACCUCUGACGUCCAUCAAUAUAACAGAGGAGGUUAAUAAGACAGGAAUAUGGAAGCAGGUUAACAACAAGGCUGAUAAGAAGAAAAGUCCCGGGAAAAAUGUAUCGGUGAAAUUAAAAAAGAGAGGAAAUAAGAAAGAUGCCCUAACUGACGACGAAAAAACGAGACUGUCAACUAUGGCUGAAGAGGAUGAAGAAGAAAGUCUCAAUAUAAAGAAAACUCAGAAACGCCUACUGAAAGAUUACAUCAUUGUCAAAAAGAAGAGUGACGGUGAAGAAACACCAGUAUGAGAGUAAAUAAAUUCAUUAGCUGCCUUCCAUUUGAACCCGACACUCCAAUAGACAAAACAUAUCUUGAAGAGGACUGAGUUAUUGAUACCGUUCCGUGGCCAUCAUCAGCCACCAUCACCAGCACUAACCUUCAAAUAUUCCUCUGAAGUUUCUGUGUUCCAUUAGAACUUUUCAAAUUUAGAAACUCAAUUUUAUGAUGAAUGUUACACAUUUCUCAUUUUUAAUGUAGUGAACAUUCAGUAUGCUUAUAAGACAUUAUUUAUAGGAAAUUUUAUUUGUAAAGACAGCGUUGUAGAAAUGUAAAAUUUGUAUUCGAAUUAUUAUUGUAAUUAGAUGCUUUUUUGUACAAAUGUC